CACAUAUAUUCUUCUUCUUCUCUGUGAAUCGCGGAGUGGCGCUGACGAAGUUGAAAACCCAGCAUUCUGAAUCUGCUUCUCUGUGAAUUGUGGAACUCAGGAUCUAUAGAUUUUUCCUUUAUUUUUUCCCCUUACCUGAAACAUGCAUUUUAUGCGUAGAAGAGGCCAUUUCGAGCACCCUGGGUCUCCAGUUCAUAGCUGUUUCGUCGCCCUCUUGCCCAGCUUCAUAGUCUGUGAAUGGCAGGUAUAGCUUGAGCUACAUCCCUUUCGUGAGGUCCAUGGUUUCAAAGGUCGUGGUUUCCUGUUUUGAUACUGAUUUUUAGAGCGAUGUACACCAUAUACAAGAGACCAUGAUGUAAUCCAUUCAAGAACUUCUUAACAUGAUCACCCUAUGUGCGAUUUUUGCAAGCUGAUGCA